GCAAUGGAGGAAAGUCUGACUGAGCAACGCCGCGUGAGUGAAGAAGGUUUUUGGGUGUAAAACUUUGUUGUUAGGGAAGAAGGCAGUGAGUUUGAUUCAAAAAGCAAUUGUUCCUUGACCGUAUCUAAACAGAAAAGCCCGGCUAAAUUCGUGGCCAACAGCCCCGGUAAUUUCGGAGGUGGCAAGCGUUAAUCUUGAAUUUAUGGGGGUAAAGCCCCCCCAGGGUGGUUUUUUAAAUUUUAUGUGAAAACCCCCGGGUCAACCGGGGAGGGUCCUUGGAAACUGGGAGACUUGAAUGCCGAAAAGGAGAGUGGAAUUCCCUGUGUAACGGUGAAAUGCGUAAAAUUAUGGAGGAACACCAGUGGCGAAGGCGGCUCUCUGGUCUGUAACUGACCCUGAGGCCCCAAAGCGUGGGGAGCCAACAGGAUUAAAUACCCUGGUAGGCCACCCCGUAAACCAUGAGUGGUAAAUGUUGGAGGGUUUCCGGCCUUCCGUGCUGCAGCUAACGCAU
rnacentral:rRNA from 1 species